GCGCACCCAGAAACCCUUUGUGAACUUAUACCUUACUGUUGCCUCGGCGCAGGCCGUCCCCUGAUGGGGUCCCUCUGGAGACAGAGGAGCAGCCGGCCGGUGGCCAAAUUAACUCUGUUUUUACACUGAAACUCUGAGUACAAAACAUAAAUGAAUCAAAACUUUCAACAACGGAUCUCUUGGUUCUGGCAUCGAUGAAGAACGCAGCGAAAUGCGAUAAGUAAUGUGAAUUGCAGAAUUCAGUGAAUCAUCAAAUCUUUGAACGCACAUUGCGCCCUCUGGUAUUCCGGAGGGCAUGCCUGUUCGAGCGUCAUUUCAACCCUCAAGCCUGGCUUGGUGUUGGGGCACUGCUCUCUGACGAGAGCAGGCCCUGAAAUAUAGUGGCGAGCUCGCCAGGACUCCGAGCGUAGUAGUUAAACCCUCGCUUUGGAAGGCCUGGCGGUGCCCUGCCGUUAAACCCCAACUUCUGAAAAUUUGACCUCGGAUCAGGUAGGAAUACCCGCUGAACUUAAGCAUAUCAA
rnacentral:rRNA from 1 species